rnacentral:ncRNA from 1 species
CUAAAUUCUGUGAAUAGGAUGAGUAGUUAGAGUCUUAAAGGUUUAGCGAGUCGGAGUAGGUGGGAGUCCGAUACUUUAUCUCUAGUGAAUGGACCUAGGAGAAACAAAGAGAACUCACCAAUUGGUGAAAGUAUCUGAUGUCGGGGGGCUUCCCGUUAUAGAGGCAGGAUAUCGAGUUAGUUUGACUCCGUAUCUCAUGAGAGAGAUCCUUUGGGAUCUAAUAAAGGUGGUACCGCGAAACUUAGUCUUUCGUCCUUUGA